rnacentral:rRNA from 1 species
UACGUAGGGUGCAAGCGUUGUCCGGAAUUAUUGGGCGUAAAGAGCUCGUAGGCGGUUUGUCGCGUCUGGUGUGAAAAUCCAGGGCUUAACCCUGGACCUGCAUCGGGUACGGGCAGACUAGAGUGCGGUAGGGGAGAUCGGAAUUCCUGGUGUAGCGGUGAAAUGCGCAGAUAUCAGGAGGAACACCGGUGGCGAAGGCGGAUCUCUGGGCAUUACCUGACGCUGAGGAGCGAAAGUGUGGGGAGCGAACAGG